AUACGUAGGGGGCGAGCGUUGUCCGGAAUGACUGGGCGUAAAGGGCGUGUAGGCGGCUGUCUAAGUCUGGAGUGAAAGUCCUGCUUUCAAGGUGGGAAUUGCUUUGGGGACUGGAUGGCUUGAGUGCGGAAGAGGGAAGUGGAAUUCCCAGUGUAGCGGUGAAAUGCGUAGAGAUUGGGAGGAACACCAGUGGCGAAGGCGACUUACUGGGCCGUAACUGACGCUGAGGCGCGAAAGCGUGGGGAGCGAACAGGAUUAGAUACCCUGGUAGUCCACGCGGUAAACGAUGAAUGCCAGGUGUUGCGGGUAUCGACCCCUGCAGUGCCGGAGUAAACACAAUAAGCAUUCCGCCUGGGGAGUACGGCCGCAAGGUUGAAACUCAAAUGAAUUGACGGGG
rnacentral:rRNA from 1 species